AACGAACGCUGGCGGCAUGCCUAACACAUGCAAGUCGAACGAGACCUUCGGGUCUAGUGGCGCACGGGUGCGUAACGCGUGGGAACCUGCCCUUAGGUUCGGAAUAACUCCCCGAAAGGGGUGCUAAUACCGGAUAAUGUCUUCGGACCAAAGAUUUAUCGCCUUUGGAUGGGCCCGCGUUGGAUUAGCUAGUUGGUAGGGUAAAAGCCUACCAAGGCGACGAUGCAUAGCUGGUCUGAGAGGAGGAUCAGCCAGACUGGGACUGAGACACGGCCCAGACUCCUACGGGAGGGAGCAGUGGGGAAUAUUGGACAAUGGGCGAAAGCCUGAUACAGCAAUGCCGCGUGAGUGAUGAAGGCCUUAGGGUUGUAAAGCUCUUUUACCCGGGAUGAUAAUGACAGUACCGGGAGAAUAAGCUCCGGCUAACUCCGUG
rnacentral:rRNA from 1 species